CCGGCACGCCGACCCUCGGGCCGCGGACCCGCGUUUCGUUACUUCUACGCUUGGGGGAUGCCCGGGCCACGGCCAAUAAGUAAUGGUGGUGGCCAGCGGUGGUGGGAGAUGAGCGGUGUGGGAGAGCUGCGAGGAGAUGGGCUUCUGUUUUCUGAACACUUCUUUCUCACAUUUCCUCUUCACCUCCCUACCAGCAUCUUCCACAGGAGCAAUGGGAAUACUCAUAUCUGGAAGCAGUGAGGAAAAACAUGAAGUUGCCCGAGACCCUCAGGGAAGAAAUGCCAGAGGUGUCAUCCAGUCCAGUUAAGAAUCAUUUGUGCAGGAAAAACUGAGCCUCAAGGUUUCCAAUCUGUAUUGGCCUUGUUUAGCUUUGCUGCCUUCUGUCACUUUGAAAUGUUUUAAAUAAAUCUUUGUAUCUUA